GCCAGUGUGGGGUAGUGGUUUGCGCGUGGGACUGUGACUCUGGAGAUCAGGGUUCAAAUUGCAGCUUGGCG